GCCCUGGUGAGCACCCUGUCAACAGUCAGCACCAAGCCCAGGGAGGCUUACCUGGUCACUCCCUAAAAUUCCACCUGCCAUGCAUCUUGGCCUUUGUGGAAUCAGUGAAGAAUUAUGAACACUAUGUUAAAGAGAAAAUAAACCUGUGGAAAUUAUCAGGCACUGCCUAGGUACUGGGAUACCUGUGAAGCCUCAAAACACUAGUGUGAGUAAUAAAAUUACUAAGGAGUGAAUGCAAAUAUUGGACGGUAGGGGUUGGAGCCACAGUGAGUCUUACACCUCAAGGACUUCUUCCCUGAGCAAAGGAACAAAGGAAGUUAGGACACUCAGUUUAAAGACUCUAAUCUACUCCUGUAGACUGCCAAACCUGUAGAACCACCUGUACAUGGAAAUAUUACCCCCAGCCUGGAGGAAUACCAAUAAUCACCUGAAAUCCAGAUAAACACCAGGGAUAAAGAGGAGGCUAGCCAGAGACCUAGGCAGAGCCUGAAAAACUUUCUCAGGUGGUCUCACUAUUGACUGAAGACAUAACCCCAGGACGGUUGAUCUGACUGCCCCAGGGAAAGACAUUCAAGUUUUUCUGAUGCCUAUCAGGAUUAGGAGACAUCCUGGAGAGCUGACUACAGGACAGGCAGAACACUUUUGUAUUGCUGCUUUUCAAAUUACCAGAAUGCCCAGACAUUCAAACUGGAUGGCAACCCAUAUCCUGACUAUAA
rnacentral:lncRNA from 1 species